UACGGAGGGUGCAAGCGUUAUCCGGAUUCACUGGGUUUAAAGGGUGCGUAGGCGGACAAGUAAGUCAGUGGUGAAAUCUCCGGGCUUAACCCGGAAACUGCCGUUGAUACUAUUUGUCUUGAAUAUUGUGGAGGUAAGCGGAAUAUGUCAUGUAGCGGUGAAAUGCUUAGAUAUGACAUAGAACACCAAUUGCGAAGGCAGCUCACUAAACUAUUACUGACGCUCAGGGACGAAAGCGUGGGGAGCGAACAGG
rnacentral:rRNA from 1 species